UACGUAGGGUGCAAGCGUUGUCCGGAAUUAUUGGGCGUAAAGAGCUCGUAGGCGGUUUGUCGCGUCUGCUGUGAAAACUCAGGGCUUAACCCUGAGCCUGCAGUGGGUACGGGCAGACUAGAGUGUUGCAGGGGAGACUGGAAUUCCUGGUGUAGCGGUGAAAUGCGCAGAUAUCAGGAGGAACACCGGUGGCGAAGGCGGGUCUCUGGGCAACAACUGACGCUGGAGGAGCGAAAGCGUGGGGAGCGAACAGG
rnacentral:rRNA from 1 species